rnacentral:rRNA from 1 species
CUGCGGUAAUACGUAGGGGGCGAGCGUUAUUCGGAAUUACUGGGUGUAAAGGGUAUGUAGGCGGCCCUUCAAGUCGCGUGUCAAAGUCCAGUGCUCAACGCUGGGUGUGCGCGCGAUACUGACGGGCUUGAGGGCUGGAGAGGUGAGCGGAAUUCCCGGUGUAGUGGUAAAAUACGUAGAGAUCGGGAGGAACACCAGCGGCGCAGGCGGCUCACUAGACAGUUUCUGACGCUAAGAUACGAAAGCGUGGGGAGCAAA